CCCUUUGUGAACAUACCUCUGUUGCUUUGGCGGCUCUCGCCGCGAGGGGAGGCCCUGAAAAGGGCCCGCCCCCCUCGCGCGCCCUCCGCCAGAGGACCUUCAAACUCCAGUCAGUAAACGUCGACGUCUGAUACACAAGUUAAUAAACUAAAACUUUCAACAACGGAUCUCUUGGUUCUGGCAUCGAUGAAGAACGCAGCGAAAUGCGAUAAGUAAUGUGAAUUGCAGAAUUCAGUGAAUCAUCGAAUCUUUGAACGCACAUUGCGCCCCUUGGCAUUCCGAGGGGCAUGCCUGUUCGAGCGUCAUUACAACCCUCAAGCUCUGCUUGGUAUUGGGCGCCGUCCUCUCUGCGGACGCGCCUCAAAGACCUCGGCGGUGGCUGUCCAGCCCUCAAGCGUAGUAGAAUACACCUCGCUUUGGAGCGGCUGGCGUCGCCCGCCGGACGAACCUUCUGAACUUUUCUCAAGGUUGACCUCGGAUCAGGUAGGGAUACCCGCUGAACUUAAGCAUAUCAAUAAGCGGAGGA
rnacentral:rRNA from 1 species